GGGUGCGUAACUCAGGUGGACAGAGUAGCGACCUUCUAAGUCGCGAGCCGCAGGUUCGAGUCCUGCCGCACCCG
rnacentral:tRNA from 1 species